AAAUAAAGGCCUCAUAAGGAUUGAAUUUGUGACCACAGACAACCCAGGUUGAUUCGCAAGUCAGUGUGCACUGAGUAGAGACAACCUACAGAACCACACGAGCCCACCCAAUGCCUUGGUUCUGUGUGAGCCACCCCAGAAUUCACAGGUAACAGCAUAUGGACAGGGAAAGUUCCUGAACUGGCUGCAUAAGGGCUUGAAAUAGAAUUUUAAUUGCAUCAUAAAGUUAAAUUUCUUGCAUACUGAAUCUCCAGCCUGAUAUAAGAAGCCAUCACAGCUGGGCAUGGUGGCCUGUAGUCCUAGUUACUCAGGAGGCUGAGAUAGGAGGAUCACUUGAGCCAAUGAGGUUGAGGCUGCAGUGAGCUAUGAUUGCACCACAGCACUCCAGCCUGGGUGACAGGGCAAGAUCCCAUCUCUAAAAAAGAAAAAAAUAAUAAAAAAUUAAAAAGAAGCCAGUAUUACAUUCCUUUCAGCUCUAAGCUACCCUAAUGCUUGGAGCCUUCAUAGUAACAUUCCAUGGUAAUUUUUUCACAUGUAUGAGAUUUUCCAUCAUAAGUGACUACAAUUAGCAUAUCUGGGUGAUGUGUAUGUGUUGGUUCCUUGUUUUACCUGGAACAGAAGGAAGGAAUUGGCUGCCAGAUAUUUGAAAAUUUGUUGUUGGAAAUGGCAGCACUGCAUGUAAGAGGAGCUUUUUCAAAUGAAUCAGUAGAUAAAAGGUGGAAGCUUGGCUCUUCCAGCCAAGCUCCCUUCAACAAGAGGAAUGAAAAUUGUAGUUCAAUGCCUGCUGCUCACUUAUCUCGUGUCUCAUAUCUUACUGCAACUUCCAGAAUGAAAAGACCCUGCCACAAUGAGGGGCUGAGUAAUUAAUUGCCUGAAACACAUGGGUAGUCUGAAAUUUGAGAUUCUUAUAAAGGUGUGACUCACAGCUUUCUUAGAAAAAGAGAACAAAUAUCCAUUGCACCAGGAACAGGGAAAUUUCCCUCCCAUCUUCUUCUCUUUCCUAUUAGGAUCUCAUUCUGUAGCCCAGGAUGAAGAGCAGUGGCAUAAUCAUAGCCCACUUCAGCUUUGACCUCUCAGUCUCAAGUGAUAGUCCCCCCACAGCCUCCUGAGUAGCUGGGACCACAGGCAUGCACCACCAUACCCAGAAGCCACUGUGGAAGAUGACGAAAGGAAAAUGAAUCACAGAUGAGGAAGAAACAAAAACAAAUGAAAUAAAGAAAACGAACGGACACAGACUUUAGGAAUGAUGUUUGAUUCCUAAUUAGGCUUGAUAUUACCAUGUUUGGUUACUGGUGUGUUUUCAUUCAUGUCUUUUGACCUGCUUAAAAAAGGAAAGAGGUCACUUCAAGGGAUCCACAUUUCAAUUUCAGUGUGUGGCACAAUUACUCUAUACUAAGAGUCUACUAGCCGUCAUUCCCACAGUAAGGCCUGGCUUGUUCGUACACUGGGUGCAUCUCUGAUCUAAUUUUAUUAUGGAUGACAGCAUGACAUUCAUUUCCACCACAUUCUACACCGCUCCAAUUCUGAACUUGGCAUGUAAUAGCCAUAAAAUAACAUGAGUAAAGAAGGGGACUCCUGCACAGAACUCUGGAAACCAAUGCCCAAUUUACGAGUCCAAGCAUGCAUGACUACUGUAAACCAGAAUGGUACUAAAACCAAUAGAUAUAUGAGAAGAAAAUGAAUAGUUACGUAAAGGUUUAUUGUAGACACUGGUUCAUUUUCAUAAUUUUAGGUUGAAUAUACCCAGCUGAUGAAAGCUUUGAAAAACUGAGUAUAAUUCCUUAUUAAAAUUAAAAGCACAACCUGUUUUUUUUGUUUGUUUGUUUUUUUGUUUUUUUUUUUUUUUGAGACAGAGUCUUGCUCUGUUGCCUAGGCUGGAGUGCAGUGGCAUGAUCUAGGAUCACUGCAGCCUCUGCCUCCUGGGUUCAAGCGAUUCUCCUGCCUCAUCCUUCGAAAUAGCUGGGAUAACAGGCUUGUGUCACCAUGCCUGGCUAAUUUUUGUAUUUUUAGUAGAGACGGGGUUUCACCAUGUUACUCAGGCUGGUCUCAAACUCCUGACCUCAGUGAUCCACUCGCCUCCGUCUUCGAAAUUGCUGGGAUUACAGGCGUGAGCCACCAUGCCCAGCCGACCUGUUAUUUUUGAAAGAAAGCUAACUUUAGGGAACUCAGUAUUUGCAUGGCACCAAAUUAUCACCCCAGGAUGACUAGCGAAUUGACAAAGGGAAAAUAUAUCUUAAUAGUAAAGAGAAUUGUGGUUGCCAUUACCUUAAUUUGGGAAUCAAACUUGGCAUCACUAAUAGUGAGAAAACCAGGCUCAAUGUGAUCCUGAUGCCAUGCACUAUGUUUUUAAAAUUUUUAUUAAAAAUUUUUUUUGUGAGAGAGCCUCUCGGUCUGUCACCCAGGUUGGAGGGCAGUGGCAUGAUCACAGCUCACUACAGCCUCCAACUCCUGGGCUCAAGCAUGAUCCUCUCAUCUCAGUUUCUUGAGUAGCUGAGACUACAGGUGUGAGCCACCAUGCCUGGCUGCUGCCAUGCAGUAUGAAGGAGAUAGCCUCAUCUAUGAGUAUUCUUCAAAAUGUGUAACCUGAAUCAAGUCAAGACUUUAGGUGUGUAGGCUAUACAGAGGAUGGAGGAACAAGUUAAGCCACUUUAAAGAAAGAAUCAAAAAGUCUAGAACUGGGGCCUUCUAUAAGACAGGCUUAGUACAGUACAAAAAAGUGAUGAAGACCAGGACUGGUUUUUUUUGUUUGUUUGUUUUGUUUUUUUUUAAGGCCUGGCCUUUUAAAAAAGUCAAUAGCAUGAGAAAAGGGGAAACAGGGCUGGGCUCUGGAUUAAAAAAGAUGGACGACAUGACAAUUGUCACAUGUGUUCCUUGAUUAGAUUCAAAAUUGGAAAAAAACUCUACAUAUACUGAGUUGAUCAUUAUACAAUUCUACAUGCAUUGAAACAUCACACUGUACUCCAUAAGAAUGUGCAAUUAUUAUGUAGCAAUUAUAAAUAAAAAUUAAUUUUAAAACAGUAUGUUCUUAAAAACCCUAUAAAACCAUGAUAAUCAUUUGAAUAUGGACUGCGUAUUAUAUGAUAUUAAGGAAUUACUGUGAAUUUAUUAAGUGGCAUAUAUUGGUAUUUGGUUAUGUUAAAAAGGUGUCCUCAUUUUUUUUUAAAUGUAUGCUGAAGUACUGGAGGGUGAUUGAUUUUAAAAUGGUCUAGCAACCACAAAAAAACAGAUGAAGCAAAGAUGGCAAAAUAAUAACAAUUAUUAAUUAAAUGUAUUGGGUUAUGGGUAUGCAUUGUAUUAUUUUUUCUAUUUCUCUGCAUGUUUGAACAUUUUUAUGAUAAAAAGGUAAGGAAAAAAACCUUAGCUUUUAUUAGUUGCUAAUGAAAAUCAGGUGUUUCAAAACUAAUUAGUUUUUCUCUAUCCAUUUGGACCAGAUCACCCUUCCAAAUGAGCAAAAAAUUUAAAAAUAAAAUAACAUACUGAUAAUUUUUAAAAAUUAAGCACAGGUGCAGCCCUCAAGUGUCAACAACAGCAACAAAAUGGCAAUAAUUUAAACCACAUCAAUUUCCCUUUAAUUAUCUUUAUCUUAUGAGAUACAAACAAAAAUUUGCAGUGGUAACAGUGUCUGGUGUUUAUGUUUAAAUCCAUAUAAAUUGGUUACUUGCUGUUCAUAUCAGUGAAUGGUUUAAAGUGAAAACAACCCUGGUAAUCACAAAUUAUCUGUUGUAAUCAACUUUUCCACGUGAGUUAAUUGAAGCAUAGUGAGUACCAAUAAGUAAAAAGAAAGCUAGGCUUAGGGAACAGUUCACAAUUUAUAAAUAAUUAUGCCACUUAGCAAAUUAGUAAAGUAAUUUACUCCUCACAUCUACAAACCCUUGAACAACACAGGUUUGAACUGCGAGGGUCCGCUUAUAUGUGGAUUUUUUUCAGUAAAAGUUACAUUAAGUGUGUCUGGCUCUCCUGCCUCCCCCUCCACAUCCUCCACCUCUUCCGCCUCUGCCACCCCUGAGACAGCAAGACCAACCCCUCUUCCUGCUCAGCCUACUCAACUUGAAGAGGACACGGAUGAAGACCUUUAUGAUAAUCCACUUCCACUUAAUGAAAGUUAAUAUAUUUUCUCUUCCUUGUGAUUUUCUUAUUAAAAUUUUCUUUUCUCUAGCUUACUUUACUGUAAGAAUACAGUAUAUAAUACAUCUAACACAAAAUAUGUGUUAAUCAGCUGUUUAUGUUAUCAGUAAGGCUUCCAGUCAACAGUAGGCUAUUAGUAAAGUGUUUGGGGAGUCGAAAGUUACACUCAGAUUUUUGACUGCAAGGGUGUCAGCACCUCUGACCCUUGUGUUGUUCAAGAGUCAACUUUUUUUUUUAAUCAGCCUACUUUCCUAUCUGGAUUUAUGUGUAGAGUAUAUGGAUUAAAUUAAAUAUUUAUAUUUUACUGUAUACAUUUGACUUACAUUAUCUUGAUUUGGUGGUUGAGUGAUCAUUAUAAAAUUGCUGGAAUUCAUUUCCUGUAAGAAUAAAGUAAUUAGCAGUUGGGCAUAAUGGAAAUGGCAUGGGACUGGGAGUUAUAAAACCUGAAUGAUAUAGGCCACACUUAUGUGCUUGUGUAACUAAAUAAAUAUCUGUUUGACUUUGGGCA
rnacentral:lncRNA from 1 species